AAAUUGAAGAGUUUGAUCAUGGCUCAGAUUGAACGCUGGCGGCAGGCCUAACACAUGCAAGUCGAACGGUAACAGGAAUCAGCUUGCUGAUUCGCUGACGAGUGGCGGACGGGUGAGUAAUGUCUGGGAAACUGCCUGAUGGAGGGGGAUAACUACUGGAAACGGUAGCUAAUACCGCAUAACGUCGCAAGACCAAAGAGGGGGACCUUCGGGCCUCUUGCCAUCGGAUGUGCCCAGAUGGGAUUAGCUAGUAGGUGGGGUAACGGCUCACCUAGGCGACGAUCCCUAGCUGGUCUGAGAGGAUGACCAGCCACACUGGAACUGAGACACGGUCCAGACUCCUACGGGAGGCAGCAGUGGGGAAUAUUGCACAAUGGGCGCAAGCCUGAUGCAGCCAUGCCGCGUGUAUGAAGAAGGCCUUCGGGUUGUAAAGUACUUUCAG
rnacentral:rRNA from 1 species